rnacentral:tRNA from 1 species
GUGUUAGCUCAGUUGGUUAGAGCGUGCUGCUGAUAAAGCCAAGGUUGCAGGUUUGAUCCCUGUAUGGAACA